rfam:Schistosoma mattheei strain Denwood, Zambia genome assembly, scaffold: SMTD_contig0001060
AUCCAGCUGAUGAGUCAUAAAUAGGUCGAAACGUGAGUCCUGGAU